CGGAGAUCGGCGGCGGACGAGCGCCUCGCCAACCUGGUCAGGUCCGGAAGGAAGCAGCCACAACGGGUCCCGCUUCGGGUUGUCGUUCGGUCUCCACCU
rfam:Phenylobacterium zucineum HLK1, complete genome.